AACAAGAUCAACUCUAGUUGAGAGUUGGGAUUGGCCUUAUAUAUGCGGUAGUGUGUAUUUGGCUUGAAUUUAUCGAGUUGAUGAGCUUCCCAGCGCGGCUCAAUGUGUGCUAGCGAGACAGUCGUCCCGAUCUCACAUUAUUGUCGCGUUGCAGAGUUCUGUCCACAGCUCGCUAAACCUAUCAUCAA
rnacentral:misc_RNA from 1 species